UAUUAUACUGUAGAUUGCUCCGUGUAGGUUGCAUUGCCUUAUCAUAACCGCAAGCAUACAAUAACGCUUCAAUAACCGGCACAUUUGGAUUCCCAAGGUGUAGCAAUUGGCACUGACUUGAUAAUGGAGUAACUCAAUAAGUGUUAAUAAGAAAUUUAAAGACUAUGUACCGGUGGCUCCCAUGCACCUUAGUAACACAUGCGCACAUAAAAACCUUUGGUUACAUCUGGUUCUGUGAUUGGACAUAAAACAAGCUGCCACUGGAAUGACGUCACGGCGGCCGUAAAUUGUCAACAGAAGACGCACUCAGCAGGCGAGUAGAGCUCGGAGGACUACUGAAGGAGACGGACUAACCCGGAGAAGACUGUGCGUAUUAAUCCAAUGAUUGGAUCGACAGAUGAAGAGUGAGCCCGCGAAUUAACCACACAUACGCACUUGGAGGGAAGAUAGAACUGAAGACUGAAUAAAGGGGAUUCCAAACAUAUAUUUCUUCCUCUUGGACCUAAAACAUAAGUGUCUGAUGAAGCACGCGAUCACUACCCGCUCACCAAUCCGUCAUGAGUCUGAGGCAGCAAGACAAAGUAGUCUACGAAAAUGUGAACCGGAGGUCGUUUUCUGUCUUUGGUUAUCUAGCUGUAUGAGUGUUAAAUACCUGUCAUAAAGCUAGAUAACCGAAAGUAGAAAUUACUUCCACAUUCUUGUUCUGGUGGAAAAUAAGGCCUAGGGUAUGCCUACAACUAAGUUAGGCCUUUUGACAAGUUUCGCCAAGUUCCACCUCAAAGGCGACUCGUUCACAACAUGGUGUGUUCAAGGAGCACAAAUAGGGGACAGAAUCAUCAACAAAAAGCGAAUGAGGAGGUGAAUUGCCACACAAUAGCCCACCCCCUUUACCCACCGGCCUCUAAUGCCAUCUGUACUGCAAAAUGGGAGACAAGAGACGCCGUGCCUAUGCCAAGAGGGGGACAAAGCCAGAUCUCCAGAGGAUGGGCACGCUGAGAGCAGAGAGAGGAGCCAUCUUGGGAGACAUUGCUGCAGAACCUAAGAUGGCUGGGCUGGCAUAAGACGUUUGGAUGUGGAGUGGUCAGUAGGGAGGGAGAUUCUGCAUACUCUAUUGGUGUUCCUGGUACAGUAUGGACCAAACCACUAAACAACCAUCAGACUGUUGGAAACCAUCUCUGUCACUGUCAUACAAAGUUUAUACAACCAGAGGACCACGACAAGGAAGAGGGAAGAUUUGUGCAAUUUAGUUUUAUUUGUGUUUUUUGUUAGCAAUAGUGUAAUGAUUCGAUUUUCUUUUUUACUACAAUUUGUUUCUAUUUGUCUUUGUUACUUCUUUUUAUAUUUAUUA